CCGAACUGAUUCAAAUGAUACGCGAACGCGCUACGAACCCCGGAACUGAUUCAAAUGAUAAUGUUAUUAUUUAGAUGUUGUUAUUUGUUCAAAUUUAAAGGGUUUCCAAAAACACUGUGAAUGUAAACCGAGACAACAGUCCCGCUUGCUCCGUACUCCCGAACUGACUCAAACGUUUCUGGAAAAAUGAGCGCCCGUCGCUUCCGUUAUGAGCGCCCAUACGGUGCGCCUACAUUUGAAAUAACGAACUUGAGAGCUCAAAGACGUUAUAUGUGAACAGCCCCUUACUUAUAGCCUUGUUUGCUGCUCUUUAAUUUAAUUCUUUGUCAUUUAUGUGAAAUUAUGUACCACAACUUAACAGUUUUGCUUUAUGGAUUAUAUAUUUUUUUUAUCUGUUGAACACCAAACAUAAACAAAAAGAAGUUUUAAACUCAUUAUUUUCAUUAAUUUUAAAAAAGUAAACAAUUUGUUUGCAUUUGCGCUAGCAUAUUCACGCAGCGCUGUCUCGCGAGUGCAGUGCACGUUUUUGAAUUCCAACGGUCGAGAAGAGAUUGAUCCCGGUCUGCUGAUUUAAAUUGAUGGUCUGACAGAAAUAUUGUUGUGCGGAUUUACACUAAAACACGAAAGAGCCUGAACCGCGACAGUGUCACAAGUUGCCUUACAUCCAUAAGUUUUGUUGUGCUUGUUGCAAACUGUUAAAUUAAGUGUUUUCCAAUCCUAAGCUUAGAAAAAAAGAUGCAAGACUUCAAACUUUCCAGUACUCCUGUGUACUGAUAAUCCGGUUUCCACCCAGUCCCAGGAGAUUAUAUUAAACCUGGAAAAUAUUGGAGAAGAUCAAUUAAGUUUUCAGGAGCACAUUACUGUGAUAAAUGUUGAACUAUGUAAAAGACAACCUGCUACACCAACAUAUCAAAAAUCGAAUGAGAUGCGCUCUUGUUAAAAGAGUUGAUUUAAUGACAAAAUCAACAUGAGAGGUCAUGGACAUGUUCCCAUUUCUUCGGGUUCCACAAAUUGUGAGUAUUUGUUUUUGGUGUUGUUUCCUUUCAGUUUAGUAUUUCCACUGCAUUUUCAAUUUUUUUUUUGUUUGAAUAAAAAGUUAAAAUUGUUUUAAUGAAUUUUUCCUUCUUUUUUUUUUUUUGGUAGCUGCUGCAUGAAAUGUAGAUGCGGUUUAGGAAGGACCUUCAUCUCAAUCUAGAGACUGCUCUUCAAGUUAAAUUAAAUUAAAUUUAUUCAUUUAGCAGACGCGACUUACAGUGCAUUCAGGCUAUCAAUUUUUUACCUAUCAAGUGUUCCUGGGGAAUCGAACCCCCAACCCCACAAUGCUCUACCAAUUGAGCUACAGGAACACUACUGUCUACUUUAGCAAAUUGACACAAACACAAAAAGUGUUCUUUUUUUUCCUUAACACAACCAUUAAUUGCUUGGUUUGUUGAAUGGUUACUCUAAUAAAUCUAUUUAUACCAUGGUUUGUCUGAAUAUUUGAUUCUGAUUGGCUAAAAGGGGUGCAUUAAAAUAAUUUGAUUCACAGGU